GUCCUAAUUGUGAAACGGUAUCGCGUCCGCGCUAUGUAUACAGGACAUGAGCAGGUCGGCGGAGGUCCCUGGUUCGACUCCAGGUUAGGUCG